AUGUUCACGAAGGUAAGUUAAUGAGUUCUACGCUCCGUUGUCAUUUUCCUCUCCUUUCAUUCCUUGUUUGUGGACGACGAUGGGCUCUCAGGACUCAGGUGAAGAUUGCCUCGGUUGGGCUGCAAGAGACUCAUCUGGGUUUCUAUCUCCUUACAAAUUCAAUCGUAGGGUUCUUGGAGAUGAUGAUGUUUCAAUUACAAUAACACACUGCGGAAUUUGUUAUGCAGAUGUAGUAUGGACAAGAAAUAAAUUAGGAGAUUCGAAAUAUCCUUUAGUGCCUGGACAUGAGAUUGCAGGAAUCGUGAAAAAUGUUGGCGCAAAUGUUCAGCGAUUUAAAGUUGGAGAUCAUGUUGGGGUAGGAACUUAUGUGAAUUCUUGCAGACAAUGCGAGUACUGUGAAGAUUGUCAAGAAGUUAGUUGCACAAGUGGAUGCACUCAUACUUUUAAUUCAAUUGAUUUUGACGGUACAAUUACAAAGGGAGGAUACUCCAACUACAUUGUUGUUCACGAGAGAUAUUGCUACAAAAUACCUGACAAUUAUCCAUUAGCUUCAGCUGCUCCUUUGCUUUGUGCUGGAAUUACUGUUUAUUCUCCCAUGAUUCGGCAUAAUAUGAAUCAACCUGGUAAAUCUCUUGGAGUGAUAGGCCUUGGUGGUCUCGGGCACUUAGCAGUGAAGUUUGGGAAGGCUUUUGGACUUAAUGUGACAGUUUUUAGCACUAGCAUAUCCAAGAAAGAAGAAGCCCUUAGCGUUCUUGGAGCAGACAAAUUUGUUCUCUCAUCUGACAACAAGCAAAUGGAGGCCUUGUCUAAGUCCCUUGACUUUAUUAUCGAUGCUGCGUCUGGUGAUCACCCAUUUGAUCCAUACAUGUCUACGUUGAAGGUUGGUGGCGUUAUGGUUCUGGUGGGGUUUCCUUCUGAAGUCAAGUUCAUUCCUGCUAGCCUUAUUUUGGGUAUGAGAACCAUUUCUGGUAGCGUGACUGGUGGUACUAAAUUGACUCAAGAAAUGAUCGAUUUCUGUGCUGCUCAUGGAAUCUAUCCAAACAUAGAAGUGAUUCCAAUUCAGUAUUCUAAUGAAGCCAUCGAAAGGGUAACGAAGAAUGAUGUCAAGUACCGAUUUGUUAUUGAUAUCGAAGGCUCUCUGAAAUGAUCUCAAGAGGGAGAAAAAAGGUGACAUAGUCCUCAUAAAUCAAAACGCUUCACAAUUGAAGGUUGCCAUGGCCAUGGGGAGCUGCAGAAAGAAGGCUUCAUCAAGAGGCCACCAUCGUUAUGUAGGAGUUCGUCAGAGACCCUCCGGUCGAUGGGUCUCUGAGAUUAAGGACUCCCUCCAAAAGGUCAGGCUAUGGCUUGGGACUUUCGACACUGCCGAGGAGGCUGCUCGGGCUUACGACGAUGCAGCUCGGGCACUCCGUGGCUCCAAUGCUCGCACCAACUUUGAGUACUUGCCUCCGAGCUCUUGUGACUCUGGUGCUGGCGAUGCUAACCAACCAAUUGAAUCGCCUUUCUCUUUCGAGGAGGGUUGCAUCGAAGAAGAUGGGCUCUUAGGAGCCCUAAAGGCGAAGCUGUUCGACGGCAAGGGGCAGAGGGUGCUGCAGGCGGUGGCGCAAACAACUUGUUGCUCAACCACGGAUAAUCUAAUAAACACAAACAACAACAGCAAUUAUAACGAAACCAUCAUUCAAGGUGGCAUCCACCCACCGCCAGUACUCUCAAGCGGCCAAGUUGACGUGGUGACGGCAGAGCUGGAUUCCGGCGGAGGAAGUGGGUGGUUCAAUGCUUCGUCCACCGUGGGACUACAUGCAUGGCCAGUGGUUUUAGGUGGCCUAGAAGAGGGGGGCAAUAUUGGAGAUGUGUGUGUUAUGUAGUUUAUGUGGUUUUGUGUAUGGAGAAACUAAUAAUUUUAUGAGAAACAUAUAAUAAUAACAAUAAUAAUGGAUUGUGUGUACAAAAUAUGAAAAACAUAUAUAUGUAUAUUAUUAUUAUUAUUAUUAUUA